rnacentral:tRNA from 1 species
AGAGAAUUAAGAAUAAAAGUAGCUGCUAACUAUUUUUUAAAGCGGUUAAAUUCCGUUUAUUCUCUA